UUUUGUAUAAUGGGUCAGCGACUUAUAUUCUGUAGCAAGGUUAACCGAAUAGGGGAGCCGAAGGGAAACCGAGUCUUAACUGGGCGUUAAGUUGCAGGGUAUAGACCCGAAACCCGGUGAUCUAGCCAUGGGCAGGUUGAAGGUUGGGUAACACUAACUGGAGGACCGAACCGACUAAUGUUGAAAAAUUAGCGGAUGACUUGUGGCUGGGGGUGAAAGGCCAAUCAAACCGGGAGAUAGCUGGUUCUCCCCGAAAGCUAUUUAGGUAGCGCCUCGUGAAUUCAUCUCCGGGGGUAGAGCACUGUUUCGGCAAGGGGGUCAUCCCGACUUACCAACCCGAUGCAAACUGCGAAUACCGGAGAAUGUUAUCACGGGAGACACACGGCGGGUGCUAACGUCCGUCGUGAAGAGGGAAACAACCCAGACCGCCAGCUAAGGUCCCAAAGUCAUGGUUAAGUGGGAAACGAUGUGGGAAGGCCCAGACAGCCAGGAUGUUGGCUUAGAAGCAGCCAUCAUUUAAAGAAAGCGUAAUAGCUCACUGGUCGAGUCGGCCUGCGCGGAAGAUGUAACGGGGCUAAACCAUGCACCGAAGCUGCGGCAGCGACGCUGAUGCGUUGUUGGGUAGGGGAGCGUUCUGUAAGCCUGCGAAGGUGUGCUGUGAGGCAUGCUGGAGGUAUCAGAAGUGCGAAUGCUGACAUAAGUAACGAUAAAGCGGGUGAAAAGCCCGCUCGCCGGAAGACCAAGGGUUCCUGUCCAACGUUAAUCGGGGCAGGGUGAGUCGACCCCUAAGGCGAGGCCGAAAGGCGUAGUCGAUGGGAAACAGGUUAAUAUUCCUGUACUUGGUGUUACUGCGAAGGGGGGACGGAGAAGGCUAUGUUGGCCGGGCGACGGUUGUCCCGGUUUAAGCGUGUAGGCUGGUUUUCCAGGCAAAUCCGGAAAAUCAAGGCUGAGGCGUGAUGACGAGGCACUACGGUGCUGAAGCAACAAAUGCCCUGCUUCCAGGAAAAGCCUCUAAGCAUCAGGUAACAUCAAAUCGUACCCCAAACCGACACAGGUGGUCAGGUAGAGAAUACCAAGGCGCUUGAGAGAACUCGGGUGAAGGAACUAGGCAAAAUGGUGCCGUAACUUCGGGAGAA
rnacentral:rRNA from 1 species